UACGUAGGUGGCAAGCGUUGUCCGGAAUUACUGGGUGUAAAGGGAGCGCAGGCGGGAAGCCAAGUCAGCUGUGAAAACUACGAGCUUAACUUGUAGACUGCAGUUGAAACUGGUUUUCUUGAGUGAAGUAGAGGUUGGCGGAAUUCCGAGUGUAGCGGUGAAAUGUGUAGAUAUUCGGAGGAACACCGGUGGCGAAGGCGGCCUACUGGGCUUUAACUGACGCUGAGGCUCGAAAGUGUGGGGAGCAAACAGG
rnacentral:rRNA from 1 species